AUUGAACGCUGGCGGCAGGCCUAACACAUGCAAGUCGAACGAGUGGCGGACGGGUGAGUAAUGUCUGGGAAAAUGCCUUAUGGAGGGGGAUAACUACGGGAAACGGUAGAUAACACCGCAUCCCAUAGGAUGAGCCCAGAUGGGAUUAGCUAGUUGGUGGGGUAAAGGCUCACCUAGGAGACGAUCCCUAGUUGGUCUGAGAGGAUGACCAGCCACACUGUAACUGAGACACGGUCCAGACUCCUACGGUAGGCAGCAGUGGGGAAUAUUGCACAAUGGGCGCAAGCCUGAUGCAGCCAUGCCGCGUGUAUGAAGAAGGCCUUCGGGUUGUAAAGUACUUUCAGCGGGGAGGCGUUACCCGCAGAAGAAGCACCGGCUAACUCCGUGCCAGCAGCCGCGGUAAUAC
rnacentral:rRNA from 1 species